CGGCGUUCGAAUUGUAGUCU
rnacentral:sRNA from 1 species